GGUGGGGAGCAUGGCAUCUAGCAUCAUCGAUGAAGAGCCAGACUGAUUGAGUUGACUAGGAGAGAUACCAAAAAAUAGGAUGAGGGGGAGUAGUGUGGUGUUGGAAGAGAGAUGAAAAUUAGGGAUGGCAACAAAUCAAACCCAAACCCAUAGAUAUCCAAUCCGAUCCGAUCCGAUUGGGUUGGGUUGUCAAUGUGUUGAGUGGGUUUGAGUAAAAUCUGAAUGC
rnacentral:lncRNA from 1 species